rnacentral:rRNA from 1 species
CUAAGGUCUGUCGGGCAUACCGUAAGGCGAGGGAACUCGGCAAAAUAGCUCCGUAUCUAUGGUAUAAGGAGUGCCUGCAGCUUUUGCGAGGAGCAGGAGUUGCAGGUCGCAGUGACAAGGGGGUCCCGACUGUUUAAUAAAAACACAGGUGGUCGCUAGUCCGAAAGGAUGAGUAUGGCCUCUGUAUCCUGGCCAGUGGCGGUACCUAAAACCUGGGUUCAACUGGGCUAAGGGCCGCUAAACGCCGGGAGUAACUCUGACUCUCUUAAGGUAGCCAAAUGCCUUGUCGGGUAAGUUCCGACGUGCAUGAAUGGAACAACGAGGGCCCCGCUGUCCCCGCCUGCAGCCCGGUGAAGCCACAUAAUGUGGACGAACAGUCCACAAACCUCUGUCGGGGAGAGAAGACCCUGUGGAGCUUUACUGCAGCCUGUUGUUGCGGUAUGGUUGCGGAUGCAGAGCGUAGCUGGGAGCCUUCGAAACCUGCUCUCCGGGGCAGGUGGAGGCACCGAUGUAACACCAGCCAUUCGUUACCGUAUCGCUAACCCGUUCUCACGGGGACAGCGGCAGGUGGGCAGUUCGGCUGGGGCGGCACCCCCUUGAAAAAGUAUCGAGGGGGCCCAAAGAUUGGCUCAGGCGGGACAGAACUCCGCCGGUGAGGGCAAAGCCAAAAGCCAGUCUGACUGGAUUCCCAAUGAUACGGGAUUCAGAGGCGAAAGCCGGGCUUAGCGAUCCAUCAUGUCCCCACUAUUGGGGGCUGGUGGUGACAGAAAAGUUACCCUAGGGAUAACAGGCUCGUCGCGGGCGAGAGCUCCUAUCGACCCCGCGGUUUGGUACCUCGAUGUCGGCUCUUCCCAUCCUGGUUCUGCAGCAGGAGCCAAGGGUGGGGCUGCUCGCCCAUUAAAGGGGAACGUGAGCUGGGUUUAGACCGUCGUGAGACAGGUCGGUCUCUGCCUGACAGGGGCGUGGUUGUCUGAGGGGAAGUUGCCCCUAGUACGAGAGGAACAGGGCAGCGCAGCCUCUGGUUUAUCAGCUGUCCGACAGGGCACGCUGAGCAGCUAAGCUGCUUAGGAUAACUCCUGAAAGCAUCUAAGGAGGAAGCCUUUCCCGAGAAAAGACA